GCCUAUGUAGAGUAGUGGUUUAAAUAUUGGUUUAGGACUCUGGGAGUCCAGGGUUCAAAUCCCUACUCAGCCA